ACACUGUACGAGUUUGAUCCUGGCUCAGAGCGAACGCUAGCGGCGGGCUUAACACAUGCAAGUCGAGCGGAGAGCUUCGGCUCUCAGCGGCGAACGGGUGAGUAACACGUAGGUAACGUGCCCUUUGAUGGGGAAUAACCUAGGGAAACCUGGGCUAAUACCGCAUAUGUCCUUCGGGAUGAAAGCCUUCGGGCGUCAGAGGAUCGGCCUGCGGCCCAUUAUUUAAUCCUAGUUGGUAGGGUAAUGGCCUACCAAGGGUACGAUGGGUAGCUGGUCUGAGAGGAUGAUCAGCCACACUGGAACUGAGACACGGUUCAGACUCCUACGGGAGGCAGCAGUGAGGAAUAUUGGGCAAUGGGCGAAAGCCUGACCCAGCCACGCCGCGUGAGUGAUGAAGGCCCUCGGGUCGUAAAGCUCUGUGGAGAGGGACGAAAACCCUGGUUUCAAAUAGGCUCCAGGCUUGACGGUACCUCUUUAGCAAGCACCGGCUAACUCUGUG
rnacentral:rRNA from 1 species